UUACCUUUAGUGUAAGGUGCACUUCAAAUUUUGAUUUUGGUAGCAACAGUUCGAUUCUGUUGAGGUAAU
rnacentral:tRNA from 1 species